rnacentral:rRNA from 1 species
UACAGAGGGUGCAAGCGUUGUUCGGAAUUAUUGGGCGUAAAGGGCGCGUAGGCGGUGCGGUAAGUCUGUAGUGAAAUCUCUGGGCUCAACUCAGAGUCUGCUAUAGAAACUGCCGUGCUAGAGUGUGGGAGAGGUGAGUGGAAUUCCCGGUGUAGCGGUGAAAUGCGUAGAUAUCGUCUGGAACGCCGAAGGUGAAAACAGCUCGCUGGGGCUGCGCUGACGCUGAGACACGAAAGCCAGGGGAGCGAACGGG